AAUUCUAACACUCAAUAUAGGAAUGAGAUACUCUCAAGUGCACAUCAGACAGUUGGGAGCCCCUUGGCAUGGGCGACCCUGUGUUGGAAUGGGUGCCCGAGUGGUCCUAAUUGUCAGAUGCAUGUUGGGCACCCAACCGAGCUAGAGAGAAUUCAGAUCUCUUAAUAUAUAAGGGUUAUCCUUCUCAAGCAAGAGUGAGAAAGAAUUUCUUCAUUCCUCAUCUCUAUAAUUUUAGUUUUCUCAUUGAGAGGUAUGUCAUGUGUUUCUCUAAAUGCUGAUUAAGUCUGGAAUGUUUGAGCUCAAUAUCAACCCAAAUUUUAUAUGGUAAAUAUUUUUUUGCUCUACAAAUAGAUGUCCUUUAACACCUAUAGUUUUCAGAUUUGAUUUCUUUUACCGAGUUUAGUUUGUUUUGAUUUAAUUAGAACUGGUGAAGGGAGUGGUACAAGAUAGGUCAUCAAUUUUAAGUCCAAGAGCUAUAUCAAUUUUUUUCUUUUAUGCACUGAAAAAGACCUAGUGGAAACAAUAAUCCUCCUUAAGGAGAAUUCGCACAUUCCAUCUAGUGCUCUAAAUGCAUAAAAGAAAUUAAAAAAAUGGUGGUAUCUACUAUAAGGAGAGUUCUGAACAAAGUACCACAUUAGUUUGGCAUCCUAUUCACCGUUGGAUAUUAUCAUUUUUGGGUCAAAGGCGAGAGAUGAGAUUUACCACAUCAAAUGGUGAACACCAGGGAUACAUGAUGCUAAUGUGAUCUCCAUCCAGUAUCUUUGUUGCAAGAAGAGGUAUCCAAUUUUUGAAGGAUAAAAUGCUAGAAUUUGCAGAGAAGCCAGGGUGGAUGAAUCAAAUUUGUAGCUCCGAGUUAUUCAGGGCCCGACUAGAGGUUGCUGCACAGGAGUCUUGUGUGUGUGUGUGUGUGUGUAUGCUGGUGUGUUUACGAAGUUACGGCAGCUUUAUGAUCCUCUCAUAGGCUUUGGAUGACACAACCUGAUCUGCCCAAGAGACCAAAGUUUCUGAAAGAUUUCGUGAUAAGCAUAAAACCCAUCACUCAAUAAGCAGUUGCCGCGUGGCACCCGACAACUCAUCAUCCAAACCAGAUGAAUACUAAAGAUAUCUGCGUGAAGUAAGUAACCUCGGAUCUCGGAUCCAAGGAAGAUCUGUCCUUCCCUCGAUAACAGAAUCACAGACAGACUCAAUCUCUCUAAAAGGGAAAGAGCUGGAGCAAUUUCCCUUGGACAGAGGGAUACUCUACGUUAAAGAAGGGAACUCGUGGAGGCACUUGGUUUUUGUAUCCAGGGGAAGCUGUUUGUGCUUGGUAGCGUGGACAUAUGAUCCCAUCCUCGACAUUGGGAUCGGUGAGCAUCUGCUAGUACCUUGUUCCAUGGGCAGUCAGCAGUACUGGUCUUGGAGAAUGGUGGGUGUCAAAGACUAGGAGUGGUUGAAGGACCCAAAGGCAGUAACGAGGUCGUUUUCAAUUUGGAUAAGGAGCCAUGGAUAUGGAAAACAGUGGCAGAAGUGUUGAUUGCUUGUACUUUUAUGCUGGAUUUUACAAUGAUCGAAAUAAGAGAUGAACUUUAUUGGAGAGGAAGAAAUCUAUGUCGUUACAAUUGGAAUCAAGAGACCAACUUUACACCA